GUGGAGGUUAAUGAAGGCGAGGCCAGUGAAGACCAUGUGGCUCUUGCUGAUACCCACCUCCUACAGUAAAGCAGCAGCAGGGAGAAACUGGCUGGACUACAGAAGAAGUCCUGUCCUGUACUGCACCUGCUCACACUC
rnacentral:snoRNA from 1 species